CCCUGAGCAAUACCGCCGAAAGUUUAGGGAGACCCGGAAAGGGGAGAAGGACUCCCAUGCAGAGUGGGCAUGCCACAUCACAAGGGCCACCCAGAACUGGCUCAACUCCCAUCAAGCCAAGUUCCCAGAGGAGAUCACCCAGCACGUCAUGGGUUCAAUUCCGGAGAGGUAGCCUGAGAAACGGCUACCACAUGCAAGGAAGGCAGCAGGCGCGCAAAUGACCCACUCCCGAUGCGAGAAGGUAGUGACG